GUACACUGUUAGAUGUCGCUGUAGAUUUAGCAGUACAUUACUGUAAAAAUCCACAGUACUAUACUGUAUGUGUACAUUACAGUACAGUACUGCAGUUCAUAAUGCAUUCUGGGUAAAUUUGUUUGAGCGGGAAAAUUUUACAGUAUCUUUUGGUCUUGAUGUAACCUUGCUGUAGCCAUUGCUGUAAUGUGCCAGGUGUACUUGCAAUAAUCAGAGAAAGUGCGCCAGAGUCAAAUCACACAGACAGCACAACUCCUGGCUGCAGCUGAAGGAGGACGAUUGAUUUCUGGCAGUUCGUCUUACCAUUGCUUGUAAGCUGGAUUGGGUAAGAUGGAUCAUCUUUAAAGGCACCAGGAGUUAAGGCAGAUGUGGAGGCACAACGGGUGAUACCAGACACACACCAAGCACAUUAUGUUCGGUAAGUUUGCACUUUACCACUACAGUUUCUUUAAAUACCCAUGUAUACACUCAUUCACAAUUCCCACACACAACACUGUAACACGACCAUACACAACAUGUACACAAUUGUCUUAGUUUGCCAUGUAGAAAUAUACAAACAGAAAUAUUCAGACUUUGGUUAUA